GACGAACGCUGGCGGCGUGCUUAACACAUGCAAGUCGAACGAUGAAGCUUGGUGCUUGCACUGGGUGGAUGAGUGGCGAACGGGUGAGUAGUACGUGAGUAACCUUCCCUUGACUCUGGGAUAAGCCUGGGAAACUGGGUCCAAUACUGGAUACGACAUGUCACAGCAUGGUGGUGUGUGGAAAGGGUUUUACUGGUUUUGGAUGGGCUCACGGCCUAUCAGCUUGUUGGUGGGGUAAUGGCUCACCAAGGCGACGACGGGUAGCCGGCCUGAGAGGGUGACCGGCCACACUGGGACUGAGACACGGCCCAGACUCCUACGGGAGGCAGCAGUGGGGAAGAGUGCACAAUGGGCGGAAGCCUGAUGCAGCGACGCCGCGUGAGGGAUGACGGCCUUCGGGUUGUAAACCUCUUUCAGCACGGAAGAAGCGAAAGUGACGGUACGUGCAGAAGAAGCGCCGGCUAACUACGUG
rnacentral:rRNA from 1 species